rnacentral:rRNA from 1 species
AGCCGGGUGGUCCUCCUACCGGUGGUUACUGCCCGCGCUGAACGAAUCAGCCGGUUUCCUUUGAUGAUCUUCAUCGGUUGUCUUGGGUGACCGGCAAGUUUACUUUGAAAAAAUUAGAGUGCUCAAAGCGUGCGUGACGCAUGAAUAAUGGUGCAUGGAAUAAUGGAAUAGGACCUCGGUUCUAUUUUGUUGGUUUUCGGAACACGAGGUAAUGAUUAAGAGGGACAGACGGGGGCAUUCGUAUUGCGACGCUAGAGGUGAAAUUCUUGGACCGUCGCAAGACGAACUACUGCGAAAGCAUUUGCCAAGAAUGUUUCCAUUAAUCAAGAACGAAAGUUAGAGGUUCGAAGGCGAUCAGAUACCGCCCUAGUUCUAACCAUAAACGAUGCCAGCCAGCGAUCCGGCUGUGUUCCUCAAAUGACACGCCGGGCAGCUUCCGGGAAACCAAAGCUUUUGGGUUCCGGGGAAAGUAUGGUUGCAAAGCUGAAAUUUAAAGGAAUUGACGGAAGGGCACCACCAGGAUUGGAGCAUGCGGCUUAAUUUGACUCAACACAGGGCAACUCAUCUGGUCCGGACACAGGAAGGAUUGACAGAUUAAGAGCUCUUUCUUGAUUCUGUGGCAGGUGGUGCAUGGCCGU